AACAGGCAAGAUCGCAGAUAUCUUUCGACACCUCGUUUUUGUGACCCUGUAUAAUGAGAAUUCUUGUGUUCCAAUUUUCAUAUUUUAAUUGAUGAGAUUAUUGUCUUAAAUAUGAUGCACAUUACGCAAAUGCUUACAUUCUGUGGUACUUUAUGCUUAAUAUUUCUAAUCGAAAUUGCUUCUUCCACGGAUGAGACUUUAUCUGAAGAAUUGCAAUGCAUAAAACCGAUAUCCUAUGAAAUGGAGAUUUUUCCGCUAAUACAAAAUAACUCUCUUACCGUUGAGACUCGCGUCAAAAUAAACAUCAAUCCAAUAUUAUACUCAUUAAAGUUUUUCAAGUGAAUCACAUAUUGUGGGACUUAACACCCUCAAUAACAUAUCUACAACCCGGAAUAUACUGGAUAAAUGCGGUAUAUAGUUGUAUUUUAGACAAAGUUGCUACUGUUUCAUCACAUGAACAGAAAUCUGAANAA